ensembl:lncRNA
CUAGUUGCUACUUAAUGCGUGUUCCAGUUCAAAAAUAUAUUUAUUUUGUUUUCCAGGUAAAUCUUGCCAGAACUUUCCAGACUGCAGAUCCAGGAGCGCACGGAUCACACCAACGCCACAGAACCAUGUCGGACUCAGAGACUGCAGCUCCUGCCGAGACCCCUGUCCCAGCACCCUGUGUGGCCAUCAAGGCAGAUCUAGACAAAUGUGUAAAGGCGAAUGGUGAGGAAGCGUGUAAGGAGCUAAUGGAGGCGUUUGCUGCCUGUGUGAAGAGCAAUGCUGAGGCGUCAUGAGGAGCUCAACAUGCAGGAAAA